rnacentral:misc_RNA from 1 species
AGAAGUGGGAAUUGGGAGAUGACCUUUCUCUUGUAGGCUCUUAACGGUGUCGUAUAAACACUGCUUUGCUGGAGUGAACUCCAAUCCCAAGUCCUUCAGCUUCUUGUUGGAGAAGUUGUAUGCCUUCUUCCUCGAGUUCACUUCAUCUGAGCACUUGGUAGGAACAGGAUAUUCCGGGAACAAUUUGGCCAGAAUCUCAACA